GGUUCUCUCCAGUUCCUGUACCUGCAUUGAGAGCGCAGGCUGCGUCACAGCGCAGUGCUCGGCGGCCUUGCCGAAAUGGCCGGAUCUGGCCACGGCGUCGAAGGAGCUGUUUAAGGGACACCAUCGAUCAGUUCUUCUUAUUCAAGACCGUUAUUAAUACGGUCAGACCUGAUUGAACAGCCCUUCAGUCGACGCAUCUC
rnacentral:misc_RNA from 1 species